rnacentral:rRNA from 1 species
AUGAACGCUAGCUACAGGCUUAACACCUGCAAGUCGAGGGGAAACGGCAUUGAGUGCUUGCACUCUUUGGACGUCGACCGGCGCACGGGUGAGUAACGCGUAUCCAACCUUCCCAUUACUGUGGGAUAACCUGCCGAAAGGCAGACUAAUACCGCAUAGUCUUCGAUGACGGCAUCAGAUUUGAAGUAAAGAUUUAUCGGUAAUGGAUGGGGAUGCGUCUGAUUAGCUUGUUGGCGGGGUAACGGCCCACCAAGGCUACGAUCAGUAGGGGUUCUGAGAGGAAGGUCCCCCACAUUGGAACUGAGACACGGUCCAAACUCCUACGGGAGGCAGCAGUGAGGAAUAUUGGUCAAUGGACGGAAGUCUGAACCAGCCAAGUAGCGUGCAGGAUGACGGCCCUAUGGGUUGUAAACUGCUUUUGUAUGGGGAUAAAGUUAGGGACGUGUCCCUAUUUGCAGGUACCAUACGAAUAAGGACCGGCUAAUUCCGUG